GCUUAUUCCUUCAAGAAGUUUGGAAUCCCUCUCAGUCAUUUAUCUGAUGCUAAACUUUAUGUCUGAUGGUAAACUUUUCAAAAACUAAACUAGAUGAGGAGGUGUUUGAAGAGGUAACCACAAUCUUGGUCGUGUUUACAAAUUCUCCUUUGACAGUACACCUGAAGGUAGGUAGGCUACUCCUAAUAAGGAGGACAUCAGUGAGCAGACUUAAAAACUCCUGAUUUGAUUGAAUGCACAUCUCAGGUUGACAGAACAAAGUGGAAAUAGGCAUUCAAGGCGCUGCUAGCCCAACAGAUUUUCCAUUUAUGGGACAAUGAAUAAUCUUUCUAAUUCUGCAGAUUUUGAUACUGAGGUGAUGCAGGUUUGCCAAGAAAGUUCCAUCCUGGAUGUUGAUGUCGUUUUGAAUAUUGACAGCCCCCUGCAGAUGCACUCAAGCACAUCACCAUCAAGAAGUGUGAAGGAACUGUAUGCUAAGGGACCCCUUUUUUUGAAAAGGGUUGUGAACAUUUCUAUGACUCUGACAGUGGAACAGGACACUUCGCCUGGGGCAUCAAGACAGUUCAAAAUAGAGCCUCAGUGGAUCAACCAACUCCGAUACAGAACAGGACACCUUGCCUGGGGCAUCAAGACAGUUCAAAAGAAAGCCUCAGAGGAUCAAGCAACUCCGACACAGAACAAAAGACGUAAGGGAGGACCUGCCUCUGAACGAGAUGUGACAGAGCCAGAGCUUAAUGAAGAACAGCUGAAAGAAGCAAUACCUCUCAUGGAGCAUGCAACCUGAAGAGGUGGUGUAAAUCAAAAUGAAGCAAACAUUUGUUCAUCGUCAGAAAAUGGUCCAUGACUCUCACCAGUCAAC